GUACUUACCUGGCAGGGGAGGUACCAUGAUCACGAAGGUCAUUGUCCCAGGGCAAGGCUUAUCUAUUGCACUCCGGUUGUGCCGACCCCUGUGAUUUCCCCAGAUGUGGGAAACUCCACUGCAUAAUUUGUGGUAGUGGGGGACUGCAGUCACGCUCUCCCCGG